UCGAAGACGAGGACGAGGUGGCCAAGGCCGCAAGGAGGGCUCUUUCCCAUCUAGCCCCACAAGUGAAGUGGUGGGCACAUCCCAACAAAUUUAGCCUCCACUUUGCUCUCCACCAGGCUGCCAAGCAUCUGAGCAAGACUUUCAGCAAGAACAUCCUUCAGAGUGCUGC